rnacentral:rRNA from 1 species
UGGGGAAUUUUGGACAAUGGGGAAACCCUUAUCCAGCCAUCCCGGGGGUGCGGUGGAGGCCUUCGGGUUGUAAAGGACUUUUGGCAGGAAAGAAACGGCAUGGGUUAAUACCCCGGGAAACCGACGGUACCUGCAGAAUAAGCACCGGCUAACUACGUUCCAGCAGCCGCGGUAAUACGUAGGGUGCAAGCGUUAAUCGGAAUUACUGGGCGUAAAGCGUGCGCAGGCGGUUCGGAAAGAAAGAUGUGAAAUCCCAGAGCUCAACUUUGGAACUGCAUUUUUAACUACCGGGCUAGAGUGUGUCAGAGGGAGGUGGAAUUCCGCGUGUAGCAGUGAAAUGCGUAGAUAUGCGGAGGAACACCGAUGGCGAAGGCAGCCUCCUGGGAUAACACUGACGCUCAUGCACGAAAGCGUGGGGAGCAAACAGG